GGUGGCUUAACCCCUUGUGGGAGGGAGCCGUCGAAGGUGGGAUCGGCGAUUGGGACGAAGUCGUAACAAGGUAGCCGUACCGGAAGGUGCGGCUGGAUCACCUCCUUUCUAAGGAG
rnacentral:rRNA from 1 species